UAUAGGAUCGAUUGGGAUACUCAUCAAUUAAAUCUGGAAAACCGAGAACGUUCUGUGUUCUAAUGGCGGGCCACGCCCCGAAAGGGGUAACCUCGAGUCGGUGGAUUACAAAGGAACAUGGGCACUCAAAUCUUACUUACUCGGAGUUUCAUCACAUCUCCUCCCCG
rnacentral:sRNA from 1 species